GUGGCAGCCCUGACCAGGUGGAAGGACUAGAUCUUUAUUGCCAUCGGGCCGAUCGUUCAUAUCAUAUGGUAAUGGCUGUGGUUAUCAUUCGGCUGGUUGAUACCAUGGAAGUGAAUUUAAUGGAGAAACUAAACAUUUCUGUUUAAAAGUUUUUAUUUCGCAAUUAACUUUGUUUCAGCAUUCUGCAUUAGCCAUUAGUAUUCUUUUUUGUCUAAAAUAUGAUAACACUAUGGAGUAGAGGAAGCAUUGCUUAUACUGAAACUCAGUUCUCCGAUACGAUGGAAGGAAACAAAAGAUCGCCAAUAGCUUUAAAAUCCUACAUAACUUACAAGGCUGAGCUGUUAUGGUCGCGCUGGGAAUGGGAAGAAUCAACGUGCUUUUAAGAACCUAAGACAAUUACAGGAAAGGAAUCAACCGUCGGCGUCCUAACCACUUCAUGUCCACAGUACAUUUUCCACGAAAAUGCACAAUUAAAAACGAAAAAAAUCCAAUUCUGGGUGCCUAGAUAUGUCAUAAUAGUGUGGAUGGUGUUGGCUUCAGUUAAGAAAACAUCCGCUACCACAAAUCCACGCCUGUUUGAUUGAUACGAAGGAGAUUUUUCGUUGUCUUCUUUAUGCUGAUGUUGGAAAUGAAAGUAAGUAUAACCCUUAGGUAUGAAAUUUACGAAAUAGGUUGAUUAAAAAAUUCCGCUCUAAGGACUAGAUGAAAAGACGUUUUAGUUAUUGCAUGGCAAUGGUUUGAUUUACCCUGUUCAAUGGGGGGGAUUAUUUAACAUACCGUACAUAACGUACUGUCGCGCCGACGACAUUUCUAAGCAUCUAUCGGGAAAAUUGUGACCAAAAAAAACGCCACCUAAUGGACAAUUAUUCAGCUCAUGUUGAAGUAGUCGUUGAAAAUGUCGUAACUGAUGAAACGGGAUGAGAUUUUUCAUCUCACUAUAAACUUAUUUUGCAAGGAGGUGACUCGUAAUUGACAAUUAUUUCACUGUCUCUCUAUUCAACAGGCAGUUAUUUUAUGACGAAAGUAGGUAUGGAAAAUUAUGUUUGGUUUUCUAAUCUUGUAAGUUUGCCAGAUUCAGCUGAGUGAACUUGAAGCUUUGAAAAGUUAAUCAAAACAACUGCAAUGGCAGUUCCUAAUUCAGGAAACUUUUGUUUGACAUCUUUCUCAUGUGAACUUUGAAGGGCCUUUUUACAUCAAAAUGCAACCAACCCAGAAAUUGUGCUACAAUAAUGAUCGAAGAUGCUAACAUUUGCCAUUCAUGCUUUACGAUUAAACUUUAGACAGCAUUUUGUUUCUUUGAUUUCUGACUAAAUGAUUCCAACAACAGCCUGGUUGCAGACUUUUAGCCAAUUUAUUGCAGUAUUUAAGAUCCAAUCAUUAACACACACAAAUGCCAAGGUCUUCAUUCUUCGGAAGGGAUGGUAUGCCGGCCUUUGUAAUCUGACACCGAUCUACCAUUGGGACGGCCAACGGCUCUCCUGCACUGGCAGCUGUCUCGAAAAAUUUCAAUAAUAAGAAAGGAAAGAAUUUCUUUAACAAAUUAUUCCAUCUUUUAUAUGCUUUGUCCAUUUUUAUAGAUCCUCUUGACUUUCACAGUGUUUUUGUGGCCAUCUGGACAGAGAAAAAUUUAAAAAACACUAUUUUAAACGAAACAAAUGCCGAAAUGUUGAUCCCUGUCCCGAUUGAACGACUCGCCAGCGGUCGAAAUCUUGUAGACUGAAAAAAAAUAAGCUUUUUUUUUUUUUUUUUUGCUGGCAAUUAUAAAUCACAACAACGGCUACUGGA
rnacentral:lncRNA from 1 species